rnacentral:rRNA from 1 species
UAUUAGUCAAUGGCCUAACGGCUGAACCAGCAACUUGGAGGAAUGUAAAGUAUAUGUAGAGUUAGUUUUACAUAUGCGUUUCGACUACGUCGUAUAAAGUUCUAGAUAGAAUACUGAUAAUGACAAUUUUCUAUCUAUAUGUCUUGACCAAAUCUCGUGCCAGCAGUCGCGGCAAUACGAGGAAGACUAGUGUUAUUCAUCUUUAUUAGGUUUAAAGGGUACCUAGACGGUAUAUCAAGCCCCAAGAGGGAACAGAUAUUCUAGAGUUUUAUGUGAGAGGUAUAUAUUAGUACUAUUGGUGUAGAGAUGAAAUUUUUUGAUACUAAUAGGACGGAUAAGGGCAAAAGCAAACCUCUAUGUAUAAACUGACGUUGAGGGACGAAGGCUUGGGUCGCGAAUAGGAUUAGAUACCCUAGUAGUCCAGGCAGACAAUUAUGAAUGUUAUAGACUUAGGAUUCUAAGUGUAUAAAUGAAAGUGUAAGCAUUCCACCUCAAGAGUAAUGUGGCAACGCAGGAACUGAAAUCAUUAGACCGUUUCUGAAACCAGUAGUGAAGUAUGUUAUUUAAUUC